GACGAACGCUGGCGGCGUGCUUAACACAUGCAAGUCGAACGAAGAGCGAUGGAAGCUUGCUUCUAUCAAUCUUAGUGGCGAACGGGUGAGUAACGCGUAAUCAACCUGCCCUUCAGAGGGGGACAACAGUUGGAAACGACUGCUAAUACCGCAUACGAUCUAAUCUCGGCAUCGAGGAUAGAUGAAAGGUGGCCUCUACAUGUAAGCUAUCACUGAAGGAGGGGAUUGCGUCUGAUUAGCUAGUUGGAGGGGUAACGGCCCACCAAGGCGAUGAUCAGUAGCCGGUCUGAGAGGAUGAACGGCCACAUUGGGACUGAGACACGGCCCAGACUCCUACGGGAGGCAGCAGUGGGGAAUCUUCCGCAAUGGACGAAAGUCUGACGGAGCAACGCCGCGUGAGUGAUGACGGCCUUCGGGUUGUAAAGCUCUGUUAAUCGAGACGAAAGGCCUUCUUGCGAAUAGUGAGAAGGAUUGACGGUACCGGAAUAGAAAGCCACGGCUAACUACGUG
rnacentral:rRNA from 1 species